GUACACGCUGUGACUAGCAUAUCAAUAAGCGGAGGAAAAGAAACUAACUAGGAUUCCCUCAGUAACGGCGAGUGAAGCGGGAAGAGCUCAAAUUUGAAAUCUUCAAGGUUCUACCUUGACGAAUUGUAGUUUAAAGAAGUGUUUUCUGUUGGAGUUUUGGUAAAAGUUCUUUGGAAUAGGACAUCAUAGAGGGUGAGAAUCCCGUAUUUGACCAUUAUUUCCAGCUUUGUGAUACACUUUCAAAGAGUCGGAUUGUUUGGGAAUGCAGUCCAAAAUGGGUGGUAAAUUUCAUCUAAAGCUAAAUAUUGGCGAGAGACCGAUAGCGAACAAGUACCUGUGAGGGAAAGAUGAAAAGAACUUUGAAAAGAGAGUUAAACAGUACGUGAAAUUGUCAAAAGGGAAGCGUUUGACACCAGUGUUGUUUUCUCGAAAAUCAAUUAAAAAAGGCAGGAUUUUGUGUUGUAUUGACUUUAUCAGCUUUCUGCACUCUUUUCUUGUCUUUUUUAAUGCACUUUUCGUUUAACAAGUCAACAUCAAUUUCUUUUGUUGUAAAAGGGUCAUUGGAAGGUGGCUUUCUUUUCGGAGAAAGUGUUUAUAGCCUUUGCUCUCUGCAAUCGGAGAGAUUGAGGUCUGCAGCGUAGAUCCUUCGGGGUUAGAUACAUUUGUGCUAAGUUAUAGCCUUUCAUAGACAACUUGUUGACUAUGAUCAGUCAUGUAGCUUACUCGCUUAUGCUAUUUUACCUACGCUUAGGAUGUUGAAGACUCUACAGAGAU
rnacentral:rRNA from 1 species